AGUGAACGCUGGCGGUAGGCCUAACACAUGCAAGUCGAACGGCAGCACCGUACGAGCUUGCUCUUAUGGGUGGCGAGUCGCGGACGUGUGAGGAAUGUAACCGGAUCUACUCUUUGGUGGGGGUUCAGGUAGCUAGGGUUACGCUCAUAUAGCAUACGACCUUCGGGUGUAAGCGGUGGAUCUUCUGACCGUGUGCGGAUGAACGCGCCGAUGUCGGAUUGGCUAGUUGGCGGGGUAAAGGCCCACCAAGGCGACGAUCCGGAGCUGGUCUGAGUGGAUGGGCAGCCACACUGGAAGUGAGACACGGUCCAUACUCCUACGGGAGGGAGCAGGGGGCAAUAGUGGACAAUGGGCGCAAGCCUGAGCCAGCCAGACCGCGGGGGUGAAGAAGGCCUUCGGGUUGUAAAGCCCGGUUGUUGGGUAAGAAAAGCAGUAGGUUAAUAACCCGCUGUGCUGACGGUAACCAAAGAAUAAGCACCGGCUAACUUCGUG
rnacentral:rRNA from 1 species